rnacentral:lncRNA from 1 species
AGCCUCAACCCCAACACCAUUUACAAAUUCCAUCUCAGCCCCAUUUACAGCCUCAAAUCCAGCAGCAAAUGCAACCUCAACCUCCACUGCAAUUUCAGUCUCAAUCUCAACCACAACCGCAUACUCAGCCUCAGCUGCAAUUUCAACCCCAAUCUCAAUCACAACCACAAUCACAUCCUCAACCUCAGCAGAAGUCUCAAUCAUCGUCUCAGUCACAGCAACCUUGGCCUCAUCAGCAAUUCCAACCUCAAUCUCAAUCUCAACUGCAGCCACAACCUCAACCUCAGCAGCAGUUUCAAUCUCCAUCUCAGUCACAACCUCAACCUCAGCAGCAGUUUCAAUCUCCAUCUCAGUCACAACAUCCUCCGCCUCAGCAGCAAUUCCAACCUCAACCACAAUCACUGCCUCAACCUCAACCUCAGCAGCAGUUCCAAUCUCCAUCUCCGUCAGAGCAUCCUUGGCCUCAGCAGCAAUUCCAACCCCAGUCUCAACCACUAUCACAGCCUCAACCUCAGCAGCAAUUUCAGAUUCAUUCUCAAUCACAACGUCCUCGGCCUCAGCAGCAAUUCCAAUCUCUGUCUCAACCACCACUUCAUACUCAGCAUCAGCAACAAUUUCGACCUCAAUCUCAACCACAACCAAAUGCGCAAUCUCAGCUACAAUACCGACCUGAAUCUCAA